rnacentral:rRNA from 1 species
GACGAACGCUGGCGGCGUGCCUAAUACAUGCAAGUCGAGCGCAGGAAACUGACGGAACUCUUCGGAGGGAAGGCAGUGGAAUGAGCGGCGGACGGGUGAGUAACACGUAAGGAACCUGCCUCAAGGAUUGGGAUAACUCCGAGAAAUCGGAGCUAAUACCGGAUAGUUCAACGGACCGCAUGGUCCGCUGAUGAAAGGCGCUCCGGCGUCACCUUGAGAUGGCCUUGCGGUGCAUUAGCUAGUUGGUGGGGUAACGGCCCACCAAGGCGACGAUGCAUAGCCGACCUGGUAGCGUGAUCGGCCACACUGGGACUGAGACACGGCCCAGACUCCUACGGGAGGCAUCAGGAGGGAAUCUUCCACAAUGGACGAAAGUCUGAUGGAGCAACGCCGCGUGAGUGAUGAAGGUUUUCGGACCGUAAAACUCUGUUGUAAGGGAAGAACACGUACGAGAGGGAAUGCUCGUACCUUGACGGUACCUUACGAGAAAGCCACGGCUAACUACGUGCCAGCAGCCGCCGUAACAC